AUACGGAGGAUCCGAGCGUUAUCCGGAUUUAUUGGGUUUAAAGGGAGCGUAGGUGGAUUGUUAAGUCAGUUGUGAAAGUUUGCGGCUCAACCGUAAAAUUGCAGUUGAUACUGGCUGUCUUGAGUACAGUAGAGGUGGGCGGAAUUCGGGGUGUAGCGGGGAAAUGCUUAGAUAUCACGAAGAACUCCGAUUGCGAAGGCAGCUCACUGGACUGCAACUGACACUGAUGCUCGAAAGUGUGGGUAUCAAACAGGAUUAGAUACCCUGGUAGUCCACACAGUAAACGAUGAAUACUCGCUGUUUGCGAUAUACAGUAAGCGGCCAAGCGAAAGCAUUAAGUAUUCCACCUGGGGAGUACGCCGGCAACGGUGAAACUCAAAUGAAUUGGCGGGG
rnacentral:rRNA from 1 species